rnacentral:lncRNA from 1 species
UUUAAUAACUUUGUAACGGCUCGUCGGAUUGCCGAACCGUCUUCGCCAACGCGUUUCGUUACCUAGCAAUUAGGUUUACGGAGGGUCAAAUUAGAUCAAACCCUCAUAUUUUUAAAAUUAGCAUUUUUGAGCCCUAACAUGAAUUAACCUCCAAAUAAUCCCAAUUAAAUGGAACAACAUACUAUCAAUACUCAUUAGAGGCUAUUAGUGCACUUAAAGCUAAGGAUUAAACCAAAUCCCAAAAGCUUACCCCAAUGUGAACGCCGCAACGACAACACGCAGCUCCAACGGGCGCACGAAAGCUCGAUCCGUCGCCUCCAACGCGUUCGCAGACUCGAUCUCCACCAACCCUCCAAUUUUUAGAGAGAGAUAUAGAGAGAUGAGAGAGAUAUUUAGAGAGAGAAAUGAAGGUCUCUCUCUCUCUCCCUCCAUGCGUGCGUGAGAG